rnacentral:rRNA from 1 species
GAGUUUGAUCCUGGCUCAGAUUGAACGCUGGCGGCAGGCCUAACACAUGCAAGUCGAGCGGAUGACGGGAGCUUGCUCCUUGAUUCAGCGGCGGACGGGUGAGUAAUGCCUAGGAAUCUGCCUGGUAGUGGGGGACAACGUUUCGAAAGGAACGCUAAUACCGCAUACGUCCUACGGAGAAAGCAGGGGACCUUCGGGCCUUGCG